rnacentral:ncRNA from 1 species
CCGAAAGUCCAAGGGUUCCUGCUUAAAGCUAAUCUGAGCAGGGUUAGCCGGCCCCUAAGUCGAGGCAGAAAUGCGUAGACGAUGGGAACCACGUUAAUAUUCGUGGGCCUGGAGGAAGUGACGGAUCACGUAUGUUGUGGGGUCUUAUUGGAUUGAUCCCUGCAGCGGAGUGGUUCCAGGAAAUAGCUCCUCCUUAUAGACCGUACCCGAAACCGACACUGGUGGACUGGUAGAGUAUAC